rnacentral:rRNA from 1 species
ACAGUAGGGAAUAUUGGUCAAUGGACGCAAGUCUGAACCAGCCAUGCCGCGUGAAGGAUGAAGGCCCUCUGGGUCGUAAACUUCUUUUAUUAGGGAAGAAACCUCAGGAUGCGUCCUGAGCUGACGGUACUUAAUGAAUAAGGAUCGGCUAACUUCGUGCCAGCAGCCGCGGUAAGACGAAGGAUCCAAGCGUUGUCCGGAUUUACUGGGUUUAAAGGGUGCGUAGGCGGAAAAUUAAGUCAGUGGUGAAAGCCCGCAGCUCAACUGUGGAACUGCCAUUGAAACUGGUUUUCUUGAAUAUAGCUGAGGCAGAUGGAAUAUAACAUGUAGCGGUGAAAUGCUUAGAUAUGUUAUAGAACACCGAUUGCGAAGGCAGUCUGCUAAACUAUUAUUGACGCUGAGGCACGAAAGCGUGGGGAGCGAACAGGAUUAGAUACCCUGGUAGUCCACGCCCUAAACGUUGAUUACUCGCUGUUGGCGAUAUACUGUCAGUGGCUAAGCGAAAGCAUUAAGU